rnacentral:rRNA from 1 species
UACGAAGGGGGCUAGCGUUGCUCGGAAUCACUGGGCGUAAAGCGCACGUAGGCGGACUCUUAAGUCGGGGGUGAAAUCCUGGAGCUCAACUCCAGGACUGCCUUCGAUACUGGGAGUCUUGAGUUCGGGAGAGGUGAGUGGAACUGCGAGUGUAGAGGUGAAAUUCGUAGAUAUUCGCAAGAACACCAGUGGCGAAGGCAGCUCACUGGCCCGAUACUGACGCUGAGGUGCGAAAGCGCGGGGAGCAAACAGG